rnacentral:rRNA from 1 species
GACGUAGGUGGCGAACAUUAUCCGGAAUCAUUGGGCGUAAAGGGUGCGUAGAUGGCCUGAUAAGUUAGCAGUGGGAAAUCGAGGCUCAACCUCGUGGAAGCUGGUAAUACUGUCAGGCUCGAGUGCAGGAGAGGUUAACGGAACUCCAUGUGGAGCGGUAAAAUGUGUAGAUAUAUGGAAGAACAUCAAUAACGGCGAAGGCAGUUAACUAUUCUGUUACUGACGUUGAGGCACGAAAGCGUGGGGAGCAAAACGG